rnacentral:rRNA from 1 species
AUACAGAGGGUGCGAGCGUUAAUCGGAAUUACUGGGCGUAAAGCGCGCGUAGGCGGCUUAUUAAGUCAGAUGAGAAAUCCCCGGGCUCAACCUGGGAACUGCAUCUGAUACUGGUAAGCUAGAGUUUUGGAGAGGGAAGUAGAAUUUCAGGUGUAGCGGUGAAAUGCAUAGAGAUCUGAAGGAAUACCAGUGGCGAAGGCGACUUCCUGGCCAAAAACUGACGCUGAGGUGCGAAAGCGUGGGUAGCAAACGGGAUUAGAUACCCCUGUAGUCC